UUGCAUAUCAAAAAGCGGAGGAAAAGAAACCAACCGGGAUUGCCUUAGUAACGGCGAGUGAAGCGGCAAAAGCUCAAAUUUGAAAUCUGGUACCUUCGGUGCCCGAGUUGUAAUUUGGAGAGGGCAACUUUGGGGCCGUUCCUUGUCUAUGUUCCUUGGAACAGGACGUCAUAGAGGGUGAGAAUCCCGUGUGGCGAGGAGUGCGGUUCUUUGUAAAGUGCCUUCGAAGAGUCGAGUUGUUUGGGAAUGCAGCUCUAAGUGGGUGGUAAAUUCCAUCUAAAGCUAAAUAUUGGCGAGAGACCGAUAGCGAACAAGUACAGUGAUGGAAAGAUGAAAAGAACUUUGAAAAGAGAGUGAAAAAGUACGUGAAAUUGUUGAAAGGGAAGGGCAUUUGAUCAGACAUGGUGUUUUGUGCCCUCUGCUCCUUGUGGGUAGGGGAAUCUCGCAUUUCACUGGGCCAGCAUCAGUUUUGGUGGCAGGAUAAAUCCAUAGGAAUGUAGCUUGCCUCGGUAAGUAUUAUAGCCUGUGGGAAUACUGCCAGCUGGGACUGAGGACUGCGACGUAAGUCAAGGAUGCUGCAAAGACUUUA
rnacentral:rRNA from 1 species